AUCCCAUGAUGAGGACAGGCGGCACGUANCCUGCAAUUGUCCCAUUCUUCCGGAAUUGACUCAUCCCUUGUCUGCUGGAAACUGGAAAUCCUUCCACAAAGGGC
rnacentral:snoRNA from 1 species